rnacentral:rRNA from 1 species
GACGAACGCUGGCGGCGUGCCUAAUACAUGCAAGUCGAGCGAAUGGAUUAAGAGCUUGCUCUUAUGAAGUCAGCGGCGGACGGGUGAGUAACACGUGGGUAACCUGCCCAUAAGACUGGGAUAACUCCGGGAAACCGGGGCUAAUACCGGAUAACAUUUUGAACCGCAUGGUUCGAAAUUGAAAGGCGGCUUCGGCUGUCACUUAUGGAUGGACCCGCGUCGCAUUAGCUAGUUGGUGAGGUAACGGCUCACCAAGGCAACGAUGCGUAGCCGACCUGAGAGGGUGAGCGGCCACACUGGGACUGAGACACGGCCCAGACUCCUACGGGAGGCAGCAGUAGGGAAUCUUCCGCAAUGGACGAAAGUCUGACGGAGCAACGCCGCGUGAGUGAUGAAGGCUUUCGGGUCGUAAAACUCUGUUGUUAGGGAAGAACAAGUGCUAGUUGAAUAAGCUGGCACCUUGACGGUGCCUAACCAGAAAGCCACGGCUAACUACGUGCCAGCCGCCGCAGUAA